rnacentral:rRNA from 14 species
UCUGGCCAUACCACCUUGAACAUGCCUGAUCUUGUCUGAUCUCAGAAGCUAAACAGAAUCAGAAACAAAAGAGGACAGUAUUCCCACAACUUGGAGGUAUCAGAU